CCCUUGAGGCGUGGCUUCCGGAGCUAACGCGUUAAGUCGACCGCCUGGGGAGUACGGCCGCAAGGUUAAAACUCAAAUGAAUUGACGGGGGCCCGCACAAGCGGUGGAGCAUGUGGUUUAAUUCGAUGCAACGCGAAGAACCUUACCUGGUCUUGACAUCCACAGAACUUUCCAGAGAUGGAUUGGUGCCUUCGGGAACUGUGAGACAGGUGCUGCAUGGCUGUCGUCAGCUCGUGUUGUGAAAUGUUGGGUUAAGUCCCGCAACGAGCGCAACCCUUAUCCUUUGUUGCCAGCGGUCCGGCCGCCUAACUCAAAGGAGACUGCCAGCUGAUAAACUGCGAGGAAGGUGGUGAUGACGUCAAGUCAUCAUGGACCCUUACUAUCCAGGGACUAC
rnacentral:rRNA from 1 species